rnacentral:rRNA from 1 species
AGCGAACGCUGGCGGCAGGCCUAACACAUGCAAGUCGAACGAACCCUUCGGGGUUAGUGGCGGACGGGUGAGUAACACGUGGGAACGUGCCUUUAGGUUCGGAAUAACUCAGGGAAACCUGUGCUAAUACCGAAUGUGCCCUUCGGGGGAAAGAUUUAUCGCCUUUAGAGCGGCCCGCGUCUGAUUAGCUAGUUUGUGAGGUAAUGGCUCACCAAGGCUACGAUCAGUAGCUGGUCUGAGAGGAUGACCAGCCACAUUGGGACUGAGACACGGCCCAAACUCCUACGGGAGGCAGCAGUGGGGAAUCUUGCGCAAUGGGCGAAAGCCUGACGCAGCCAUGCCGCGUGGAUGAUGAAGGUCUUAGGAUUGUAAAAUCCUUUCACCGGUGAAGAUAAUGACUGUAGCCGGAGAAGAAGCCCCGGCUAACUUCGUGCCAGCCGCCGCCGUAAAAC